rnacentral:tRNA from 1 species
GGCUGAAUAGCUCAGUGGUAAGAGCAGUCGCCCGGCAAGCGAAAGACUCGGGUUCGAUUCCCGAUUCAGCGC